UUUUUGUUUUAAUUUCGACGCCUAUGAUUUAACAUUUACCUAACCGUUUUCAAUUCAUUGAUUUUAUAAAUAUUGUAGCAAUGAGUAACCGAAUUUGCUGUGUAGUUAAUUAUAAUAAUACUUAUAAAAAUAGCAAAAACGUGAUAUUCUACAGUUUUCCAAACAGACCACAUGAAAAAAAUUUAAAAGAUCGUUGGGUAAAAGCUGUUAAACGAUUAGAGCAAUAAAACUGAUCGGUUAUGGCAACCAAUGGCUCAUAGCUUAGUUUGCAGUGACCACUUCAUUGGUAACAGAAGAUCUAAAGAUCCAAGAAGUCCAGCAUAUGUCCCAUCAGUAUUUUCUAAAAUUUAUAAAAGACAGUCAACUAACAAACAACAACAAAAUAAUAGAUAUCAACGAAACCUCCAACGUCAAGAUAACAAACAGAGAGUAUUUUUAAAUUGUCAUGUAGUUAUACCUCUGACAGUGCAUAACCACAAAUGUUAAAUUACAUGAAAAGUAUAAGUGUUAGCACUCAGGUUGCAUUUGAUUUUGAUGAUACUAAAAAUUUUACUUUUGAAUGUACAUUCAAUAAAACAGAUUGUAAUGUCGUGAUACAA